UACGUAGGGUGCAAGCGUUGUCCGGAAUUAUUGGGCGUAAAGAGCUCGUAGGCGGUUUGUCGCGUCGAAUGUGAAAACCCGGGGCUCAACCCUGGGCCUGCAUUCGAUACGGGCAGACUAGAGUUCGGUAGGGGAGUCUGGAAUUCCUGGUGUAGCGGUGAAAUGCGCAGAUAUCAGGAGGAACACCGGUGGCGAAGGCGGGACUCUGGGCCGAUACUGACGCUGAGGAGCGAAAGCGUGGGGAGCAAACAGG
rnacentral:rRNA from 1 species